UAAAAGGGUCGGUUGGCUAAAUAUGCCACGCUCGCCCAUAGAAAGGUGAGUGCUGUAUGGCUAUCAAGACAUAUGGCUGACAUAAUUUGUGGCAACUUAUAGGGUUGGCUCCUUUGGCCGACCCUCCA
rfam:Helianthus annuus linkage group 13, whole genome shotgun sequence.